rnacentral:rRNA from 1 species
CCAUAGCGUAUAUUUAAGUUGCUGCAGUUAAAAAGCUCGUAGUUGGAUUUCGGGUGGGAAUGGCCGGUCCGCCGUUUCGGUGUGCACUUGCUACGCCCACCUUGCUGCCGGGGACGUGCUCUUGAGUUCACGCUCGGGACACGGAGUCGGCGAGGUUACUUUGAGUAAAUUAGAGUGUUCAAAGCAGGCCUACGCUCUGAAUACAUUAGCAUGGAAUAACACGAUAGGACUCUGGCCUAUCUUGUUGGUCUGUAGGACCGGAGUAAUGAUUAAGAGGGACAGUCGGGGGCAUUCGUAUUUCAUUGUCAGAGGUGAAAUUCUUGGAUUUAUGAAAGACGAACUACUGCGAAAGCAUUUGCCAAGGAUGUUUUCAUUAA